UGAACGCUAGCGACAGGCCUAACACAUGCAAGUCAGGGGCAGCACAAGGAGCAAUCUGAGGUGGCGACCGGCGCACGGGUGAGUAACACGUAUGCAACCUGCCUGUAAGCGGGGAAUAACCCGUUGAAAGACGGACUAAUACCGCAUAAUACUAAAUUACUGCAUGGUAAUUUAUUUAAACAUUUAUGGCUUACAGAUGGGCAUGCGCAUGAUUAGCUAGUUGGAGAGGUAACGGCUCCCCAAGGCAACGAUCAUUAGGGGUUCUGAGAGGAAGGUCCCCCCACACUGGUACUGAGACACGGACCAGACUCCUACGGGAGGCAGCAGUGAGGAAUAUUGGUCAAUGGACGAGAGUCUGAACCAGCCAAGUCGCGUGCAGGAAGAAUGUCCUAUGGAUUGUAAACUGCUUUUGCAGGGGAACAAAGUGCAUCACGUGUGAUGUUUUGUAUGUACUCUGCGAAUAAGGAUCGGCUAACUCCGUGCCAGCCGCCGC
rnacentral:rRNA from 1 species